rnacentral:rRNA from 1 species
UGGGGAAUAUUGGACAAUGGGCGAAAGCCUGAUCCAGCCAUGCCGCGUGUGUGAAGAAGGCCUUUUGGUUGUAAAGCACUUUAAGUGGGGAGGAAAAGCUUAUGGUUAAUACCCAUAAGCCCUGACGUUACCCACAGAAUAAGCACCGGCUAACUCUGUGCCAGCAGCCGCGGUAAUACAGAGGGUGCAAGCGUUAAUCGGAAUUACUGGGCGUAAAGCGCGCGUAGGUGGUUAUUUAAGUCAGAUGUGAAAGCCCCGGGCUUAACCUGGGAACUGCAUCUGAUACUGGAUAACUAGAGUAGGUGAGAGGGGAGUAGAAUUCCAGGUGUAGCGGUGAAAUGCGUAGAGAUCUGGAGGAAUACCGAUGGCGAAGGCAGCUCCCUGGCAUCAUACUGACACUGAGGUGCGAAAGCGUGGGUAGCAAACAGGAUUAGAUACCCUGGUAGUCCACGCCGUAAACGAUGUCUACCAGUCGUUGGGUCUCUUAAAGACUUAGUGACGCAGUUAACGCAAUAAGUAGACCGCCUGGGGAGUACGGCCGCAAGGUUA